GGAAGUGGAAGCUGAGUGGUUAAGAUGUUGAACUACUGAUUGGAAGGUUGUGAGUUCAAAUCUCAGCCCUGCCA